GACGAACGCUGGCGGCGUGCUUAACACAUGCAAGUCGAACGGAAAGGCCCUGCUUUUGUGGGGUGCUCGAGUGGCGAACGGGUGAGUAACACGUGAGUAACCUGCCCUUGACUUUGGGAUAACUUCAGGAAACUGGGGCUAAUACCGGAUAGGAGCUCCUGCUGCAUGGUGGGGGUUGGAAAGUUUCGGCGGUUGGGGAUGGACUCGCGGCUUAUCAGCUUGUUGGUGGGGUAGUGGCUUACCAAGGCUUUGACGGGUAGCCGGCCUGAGAGGGUGACCGGCCACAUUGGGACUGAGAAACGGCCCAGACCCCUACGGGAGGCAGCAGUGGGGAAUAUUGCACAAUGGGCGGAAGCCUGAUGCAGCAACGCCGCGUGCGGGAUGACGGCCUUCGGGUUGUAAACCGCUUUCGCCUGUGACGAAGCGUGAGUGACGGUAAUGGGUAAAGAAGCACCGGCUAACUACGUG
rnacentral:rRNA from 1 species